rnacentral:snRNA from 1 species
GAGCGGUGUGAAGGGAGCAGCCUCGAGCGAACUAUUCUUUCGCCUUUUACUAAAGAAUAGCGUGUGCUUAUCAUCCAAAUCAGCUUUAACUUUCCUUCCCACCUAACCAAAGUAAAAG